rnacentral:tRNA from 1 species
GGGUCUGUAGCUCAACGGUAGAGCAAGCGGCUGUUAACCGCUAGGUCAGGGUUCGACUCCCUGCUGACCCG